AGUUUUUGAUGUUGAGUUCAGUGAUUCGUUAUUUGGGUAUAACCCCAGUGCUCAUCACAUCCCGGGCCCUUCUUAAUACCCAUCACCUAGUUCACCG